GAUGAACGCUGGCGGCGUGCCUAAUACAUGCAAGUCGAGCGAAUGGAUUAAGAGCUUGCUCUUAUGAAGUUAGCGGCGGACGGGUGAGUAACACGUGGGUAACCUGCCCAUAAGACUGGGAUAACUCCGGGAAACAGGGGCUAAUACCGGAUAACAUUUUGAACCGCAUGGUUCGAAAUUGAAAGGCGGCUUCGGCUUUCACUUAUGGAGGGACCCGCGUCGCAUUAGCUAGUUGGUGAGGUAACGGCUCACCAAGGCAACGAUGCGUAGCCGACCUGAGAGGGUGAUCGGCCACACUGGGACUGAGACACGGCCCAGACUCCUACGGGAGGCAGCAGUAGGGAAUCUUCCGCAAUGGACGAAAGUCUGACGGAGCAACGCCGCGUGAGUGAUGAAGGCUUUCGGGUCGUAAAACUCUGUUGUUAGGGAAGAACAAGUGCUAGUUGAAUAAGCUGGCACCUUGACGGUACCUAACCAGAAAGCCACGGCUAACUACGUGCCAGCCGCCGCGGUAA
rnacentral:rRNA from 1 species